AAACCAGCACCUCAAGUGGUCAGGAUGAUUAUUGGGCCUAAAGCAUCCGUAGCCGGCUCUGUAAGUUUUCGGUUAAAUCUGUACGCUUAACGUACAGGCUGCCGAGAAUACUGCAGAGCUAGGGAGUGGGAGAGGUAGACGGUACUCGGGAGGAAGUGGUAAAAUGCUUUGAUCUCUCGAUGACCACCUGUGGCGAAGGCGGUCUACCAGAACACGUCCGACGGUGAGGGAUGAAAGCUGGGGGAGCAAACCGGAUUAGAUACCCGUGUAGUCC
rnacentral:rRNA from 1 species